CAGCAGCCGCGGUAAUACCGGCGGCCCGAGUGGCGGUCACUAUUAUUUGGCUUAAAGCGUCCGUAGCCGGGUUGGGAAGUCCUCCGGGGAAUCUGGCCGCUUAACGGUCAGAAUGCCGGAGGAUACUCCCAGCCUAGGGAGCGGGAGAGGCCGAGGGGAUUCCCGGAGUAGGGGGGAAAUCCUAUAAUCCCGGGAGGACCUCCUGUGGCGAAGGCGCUCGGCUGGAACGCGUCCGACGGUGAGGGACGAAGGCCAGGGGAGCAAACCGGAUUAGAUACCCGGGUAGUCCUGGCUGUAAACGAUGCGGACUUUGUGUCGGACAAGCUAUGAGCUUGUCCGGUGCCGGAGGGAAACCGUUAAGUCCGCCGCCUGGGGAGUACGGCCGCAAGGCUGAAACUUAAAGGAAUUGGCGGG
rnacentral:rRNA from 1 species